GGUUCGAAUUCGGCUCAGAAGGCAGUAGCUGGGAAUAUUUUUCUAUUAGUACGUGAAAUGCUUUUCGGGGAUAUUUCACGUUUGUUCGCAGGUUAACUCCAAAAGAUGACCUUAUCAUCUUAGUGAUUUGUUUAAACAGAAAUGAAUAAUUGACUUUUAACUUACAACGUCCUACCCAUUAGGUAAUUCAUCAUGACACGCUUCUUUUACGCCACGAUUAAGAAUCGAGUACAUGUUUGUUACAGCACGACAGCACAAAUGUUUACGGCUCUUCCGCCGCGAUUAAUCUUCACAGUACAUGAAGUGUCCGUUUUGACCUGAACUUUUCUCGGCGCCCGACAACCAUUUGUGUAGUUAUGCUACCGGUUUAAUUUCAAAUAUACACUAACCUUUGAUGAAAAUGCAUCUAUUGCAUUACCGUUCAAUACGUCGGCUAGUUUACAGAGCUAGCAGUGGUCGCACGGAAUCUGAUUGAAUUGAUGAAGCGUGAUUCCAGUGAUACCAAGACGAUUAUUGUAUGACAAGUAUAACAGGUUUCAAGGUUUGCUCUUGCGUUUUGCGCUGCGCACCUGCGGCCGCAGAUAUAUACAGUAUAGCUAUCAUCACAGAAAGUUGCUGUAUAGGCCAUAGUCUUGUUUUGAAGCUGACAACAUGGCGUUACCACCACUGCUAAGUUCAAAGCUGUUGAUGAUAUCAAUGGUUGGGGACUUUUCAAAGUGAUGAUGAAAAAUGAUGAGUGGAUUUAAUUUGUACUAGUUGUAUAUGAAAUAGGAAGUUUCUCUGAUGAUGCCAUAUAAAGACAUGUCUAGCUAUUACGAUAGUACAAGCGCUGUGCCUUGUGGUCAAGUGACUGCAGUUAAUGCCGUAAAGAUUCAGAUGUUUAACUCUAGAACACUUUCGAUAUAAAAAGUAACAUAACUAUUGGAGGGUGCUUUUUACCUGACAUAAAAUACUCUGCAAAAAGUACUUAUCAUAAAAAUAGAUCAAAAUAUGAUAAGAUAUUGUAACAUUUUUGCAGUGGCCAUAGCAAUAUUUACAAUGUUUUACAUAGUUCAAGUCAUGCAAGCCGUUUUAAAUGUUUAUACUUGAAUGCUUAUUGUUUACAAGGUAUUUUUAUCAGGGCUGUCAAACGAUUAAAAUUUUUGAUCGAGUUAAUUACAGCUUUAAAAUUAAUUAUUUGUAAUUAAUUGCAAUUCAAACCAUCUCUAAAAAAUGCCAUAUUUUUCUGUAAAUUAUUGUUGGAAUGGAAAGAUAAGACACAAGACUGAUAUAUACAUUCAACAUAUGGUACAUAAGUACUGUAUUAGUUUAUUAUGACAAUAAAUCAACAAGAUGGCAUUAACAUUAUUAACAUUCUCUUAAAGCGAUCCAUGGAUAGAAUUAGAAAGACUUGUAGUUCUUAAAAGGUAAAUGUUAGUAUAAGUUAUAGAAAUUUUUUUAUAAAAACCCCUCUUAUUUUUUCGUUUUAUUAAAAUUUGUGAAAUUUUCAAUCAAAAAAUAAACUGAUAGCUCGCCAUUGUUGAUGUCAAUAAUUACACCAUGCUCACUCAUGGUGCCGAAAGCCUUAAAAUCAGUUGGACCCAAGCGCCAGCAAAGGGCGCCAAACACCAAAAAACAAGUAACAAGCAGACAUUACACUCUGCUGUCAUUUUAAUCUGAGCGGGGCAUGUGCGUUAAUUGUAGGAGUGGGAACCUCAGGGCACCUCACGAUACGAUACGAUUGGCGAUACAAGGCUCGUGAUAACGAUUAUCCCACGAUAUCACGAUGCAGCGAUUAUCGACAUAUUGGUCAGAAAUUUGAUACAUGAUAUUCUACGAUACAACUGUUGAAACGGAAAAAAAAGAUAUUUCAAAAUAGAAAAAAAAUACUGUUUAAGUCAUUUAUUAAACAGUGACACCUUUUCUGUGCAACGUUGCUGUAAAAUAUGAAUCUACUACUGCAAAUUGUUUACCUGCAUAUAUAGAGGAAACAAACCACAACCACUGAUAUCUCUUGGAGAGAUCAUGUUGAAUGGCACCCUUAAUUUCUUUAAAGUUUUAAAUCUUCUUAAAAAAAAAAAAAAAAUCAACAGUGCUGUAGGUGUCAGUCAACAGUUGAGCUUGGAGUGGGGAAAUGAUAAAAUUUGUGGGUCUUUUCUUCGUAUAUAACCUUUGUUGCGGAAAAAAAAAAAAAAAAAAAAAUGGUUUGAGCACUUCCAACAUCUGCCUCAGCAUUUGAGAUGUUGGACUCAGUCAGUCACAUUCUUCCUCACUUUAAAAACAAAGAAAAUAAAACAAAAAAUAUUUGCUACGUAAUAGCUUUUGAGUUGAAAUCCUGAUUUUUUUGUGUUUGAAGUAUUGGGUGAAUUUAAAAAAAUAUGAAUGAACUGAAUGUAUAGAAAUAAAAAAUAAUUACCCAUUUUUAAUAUGUAGGCUACAUUAAUUAUCAUGCGCAUUACCUUAUAUAUCUUGGGAGCUAUUCAAACCAUUUUUUUAGGUUAUUGUAUCAUAAUGGCAGUAAUAAGUUUGUGUAGUAAACUAGAUGGAAAGUGGUUCUCAAAUAAUAUCAAAUAAAUCAGUAAAUUCAUGUAGGCUUGUUCGAUAUUCAUUUUCAUCAAGUUUAGGGUCCUGGUUUAUUUAAUAUCACUCAGCACCAAAUAUCAUCAAAAUAAUACAUGUAAAUUAAAAAAACCAAUAACAUUGCAAAACUUUCUUACCUCAAGUGAUGAAAGCGAAGCAGUGAAGAAAUCCGUGUCAACUUCUUCACCAGCUGUCAGUGAAACUUAUUUUUGUUAGACAAUUAUUGCAUACAGCAAAGUCCUUGUUCACCUUACUUCCUUUCUUGUUGGUGUAAAAUCUGAAGUGUGUCCACAUGUGUGAUUUGUAGCAAUAAUUUUGUCACUUUUUUCCUCCACCGUUCCCAUGAAGCUUUAUUUUUUUCAACCCACUUUGAGCUUCCUCUCUUCUUCUCUAGACGACUUGUACGCACUUUACCUUCACCGCCACUCUUGAGCGCCCCUAGUGGACCGCCAAGGAAUUGCUCAACAAACAUUGAGCAGUUUACAGAAUCCAAUGGCCAAUAUGUCAAAUAAAAGUAUCGAUACUUGGCGGUAGCAUAUCGAUAACCUAUCGGGUUGCAAAAUAUCGUGAUAUAUCGCUACUUGUAUAGCGUUCAUUUUGCCUACACUUAUAACCGAAGGACAAAAUCCAUCCAGAAAACAAAUGCAACUCAAUAUAUGAAAUUCCAUGCAAAUCAUGCAAUAAAUCAUACAUCGGGGAGACAGGGAGGAGCUUCAUUACAAGAAAAACAGAACACAAGAAGGAAUGUGAAAAGGAGACAACAAUGAGACAAACAAGGGCAAUAAAAGAUCAAUCCCAAUAAGAACAUCACAAAUCAGCCAUCACCGAUCACUGCAAAAGGGAAAACCACAUCAUGGACUGGGAAAAGGCCAGAGUCAUCCGCACCGAAGAAAACAAACAUCAGCGCUGGAUCAGGGAGGCCAUUGAGAUCCGCAAGCGGGGCCCGAGGACCAUCAACAGGGACGAGGGGGCAUACAUGCUCUCUACGACCUGGAACAGCAUCUUGGAAGAGUGAAUGGGCAGCAGAGGGCGUGACUCGCCUGUCAUCCUGGCAGAUGAGUCCCGCCUUCAUCCAUCAGCUGAUAAAGACGCGUCACACCAACAUCAGUGACCCUCUGACGAAGGCGGAAGUGCCCGCCGAAACAUGUCAGGUCGGACACGAGCCACUACCGCCGACCCUUGGACAUUUUUUUAGAAGAGAGGUGUACCACCUGCCUGGAUUUUUUGCUUAUGCAAAACACAUCAUUAAGAUUGAUGGGAAAGCUGGUCUCUUCAAAGGGCUUGCGCCAAGGCUUUGUGCAGGCACCAUCGGCACUGUAGUCCAUAGUAAAAUUGUGCAGAAAUGUCACAAACAAGGGACACUUGAGAUUCUGGGAGGCCAGCAGAAGUCUGUCGAUGGAGCCUUACAACAUGUUGUGAAUGAGACAAACAAAGAGAUGAUAGCUCGUUCUUUUGCCACCAUCAUCACGCAUCCCUUUCAUGUGAUUACGUUGCGUUGUAUGGUGCAGUUUAUUGGAAGAGAAACAAAAUACAGCGGAGUCCUUGAUUCCAUCAUCACGAUCUACAGAGAAGAAGGGAUGCUGGGAUUCUUUGCUGGAUUGAUCCCCCGACUCCUUGGAGAUAUCUUCGCUCUGUGGAUUUGUAACUUGCUGGCUCACUUUAUCAACACUUACGCUAUUGAUGAUUCGAUUUCUAAAGAUGAAGUUUUCAGAAGAUAUGAGCCACACGGGAGAAAUCAAGAACUGCUCUCAGGCUAUGACAGGGUUCUUGGCCAGCAUGCUCACAUACCCUUUUGUUUUGGUGUCAAACAUCAUGGCUGUCAAUAACUGCGGGCUCACUGGAGGGCGUCCCCCCUAUGCAUCAAUAUAUCCUACCUGGGUGCACUGUUGGAAACAUCUAAGCAGAGAGGGAAACAUGAGCAGAGGAAGCAGUUUAUUCUUCCGAAGGCUUCCAGCAGGAAAGACGUACGCCAUUGAUCAGA